GUACCUAUUCCAUUUAUGUGGCGUCGUCAAAGAUGGAAUCAGCAUGCAGAUGAUGCAGAGCAGGCAACAGAGUGGCACACAGACAGCAGAGCUGGGGACAGAUAGGCAGGGACAGGGAGUCUCAGCACAGCAGCCAUGAUGGAACAAAGGCUUCUCCUUAGCACAGCAGCCAUGAUGGAACAAAGGCUUCUCCUUAGCACAGCAGCCAUGAUGGAACAAAGGUUUCUCCUUAGCACAUCAGCCAUGAUGGAACAAGAAGGCUUCUCCUUAGCACAGCAGCCAUUAUGGAACAAGAAGGCUUCUCCUUAGCACAGCAGCCAUUAUGGAACAAGAAGGCUUCUCCUUAGCACAGCAGACAUGAUGGAACAAGAAGGCUUCUCCUUAGCACAGCAGACAUGAUGGAACAAGAAGGCUUCUCCUUAGCACAGCAGCCAUGUUUGAACAAGAAGGUUUCUCAGCACAGCAGCCAUGAUGGAACAAGAAGGCUUCUCCUUAGCACAGCAGCCAUGUUUGAACAAGAAGGUUUCUCCUUAGCACAGCAGCCAUGAUGGAACAAAGGCUUCUCCUUAGCACAGCAGCCAUGAUGGAACAAGAAGGCUUCUCCUUAGCACAGCAGCCAUGAUGGAACAAAGGUUUCUCCUUAGCACAUCAGCCAUGAUGGAACAAGAAGGCUUCUCCUUAGCACAGCAGCCAUUAUGGAACAAGAAGGCUUCUCCUUAGCACAGCAGCCAUUAUGGAACAAGAAGGCUUCUCCUUAGCACAGCAGACAUGAUGGAACAAGAAGGCUUCUCCUUAGCACAGCAGCCAUGUUUGAACAAGAAGGUUUCUCAGCACAGCAGCCAUGAUGGAACAAGAAGGCUUCUCCUUAGCACAGCAGCCAUGUUUGAACAAGAAGGUUUCUCAGCACAGCAGCCAUGAUGGAACAAGAAGGCUUCUCCUUAGCACAGCAGCCAUGAUGGAACAAGAAGGCUUCUCCUUAGCACAGCAGCCAUGAUGGAACAAGAAGGUUUCUCCUUAUCACAGCAGCCAUGAUGGAACAAGAAGGCUUCUCCUUAGCACAGCCGCCAUGUUUGAACAAGACGGUUUCUCAGCACAGCAGCCAUGAUGGAACAAGAAGGCUUCUCCUUAGCACAGCAGCCAUGAUGGAGAAUCAAUCUAAAAGUCAGACUUGAUGUCAGGCCCGCCUGACUUGUUUAAUCACUAGGAGUGGUCGCGGUAGACAGACUUUGAUUACAACCAUCUCCCUGAUCAAUAAAAUCCUUGAACUUGCAUUAAAGUCACUGCCUCACUGCUGGCUGCUCACGGCAAUAUUCCUGAUAGCACAGGUUUUUCAUCUCAAAUUGCACCCUAAUUCCUUAUACAGUGCACUACUUUUUUUGACCAGAGCCCUGUGUGCCCUGGCCACACGUACUUCACGAUAACGGGAAUAGAGUACAAAUUUGGGCCCUCCGGGUCCAAUGAUUUACUCACAGGAGAGACAGGACCUUAGAACCCCAUCGGUUGCAGGCCGGGCACAGUCACCUACCUGAGCUGAGUGAUUUCACCCGGCAGAUAACAGCAGCUGUUUACCCCUUGUUUUAAGGGCAAAUCUAAGAUUGGAG
rnacentral:lncRNA from 1 species